CUAUUUUUAUAUUUUCAUUUUAUAGAGCAAAAAAAAUUAUUUAUUUUAUUUUUAUGCCACCACAGUAAAUGUACUUAUGGGUUUUAUGCCACUCGUAUACUCACAUAGGGCUUACUAUUUUGUUAACAUUUUUAUUUUCUUUUUAAGAUAGUAUGAACAUAAUUAACUAAGCAAAUUAUUUGAAAUAAUUGAAAGAAAAAGAUAACUACCAAGUUUACCUCUUGGCAAGGUGUUCGGUAUUUUUAAGUCCUCCGAACGGGACUCUCCGUUUUCUCAGUUCUCCUGGGAUUCAUUGGAUGGCGUAGUCAGUGGUUCCGGCAGCGCCUCUUCUUCGUGUAUAACUAUCUUCUCUCUCCACACCUGACUCGGUGCUACGGUCUCCUCAGGAUAGUUCUGUUCAAGCUGUAUGUCUUCAGACCUUACCACUUCUCCUUCGUAGUCUGCCAUCCGUUCUUGAUGAUUUGCCUCUUCUGGUUGCGGUUGCGUCGUCUUCUUCUUGUCCUGACCUGCUUAGAGUCUUCAACUAUAUAAUUAGGGUCAGUAAAAUAGUGGCGUACCUUCUCUGAG
rnacentral:lncRNA from 1 species